UCAAGCUAAUAAGAGCGCAAGGGGAAUGCCUUGGCAUCAAGAGCCGAUGAAGGACGUGACAAGCUGCGAUAAGCUGCGGGGAGCUGCACAUAAGCAUUGAUCCGCGGAUUUCCGAAUGGGGAAACCCGUCAGAGCAAUACUCUGACAACGUGCAUUGAACAAAAUAGGUGUACGUGGGGAACCGCCUGAACUGAAACAUCUAAGUAGGGCGAGGAAGAGAAAUCAACAGAGAUUCCGCUAGUAGUGGCGAGCGAACGCGGAAGAGGGCAAACCGGAGGAUUUAUUCUCCGGGGUUGUGGACCGACGCACGAUGCAAUAGGUUAGCUGAACGGCAUGGGAAGGCCGACCAGAGCGGGUGAUAGUCCCGUAAGCGAAAACCGAUUUGUGUUAGUUGGUAUCCAGAGUACCGCAGGACACGUGAAACCCUGUGGGAAACUGGGGGGACCACCCUCCAACCCUAAAUACUACUUGAUGACCGAUAGAGGAGCAGUACCGUGAGGGAAAGGUGAAAAGGACCCCGGGAGGGGAGUGAAAGAGAACCUGAAACCUUGUGCUUACAAGCACUCAAAGCUCGUUAAAGAGUGAUGAGGUACUUUUUGUAGAACGGUCCGGCGAGUUAUUGUAUGUAGCGAGCUUAAGGUAUUCAGUACCGGAGGCGAAGCGAGAGCGAGUCUGAACAGGGCGACAUAAGUUGCAUGCAAUAGACCCGAAACCAGGUGACCUAUCCAUGAGCAGGUUGAAGUGGAGGUAAAACUCCAUGGAGGACCGAACCGACCCCCGUUGCAAUGGUGGCGGAUGACUUGUGGAUAGCGGAGAAAUUCUAAUCGAACUUGGAGAUAGCUGGUUCUCCCCGAAAUAGCUUUAGGGCUAGCGUUGAUUUAGAUUACCGGAGGUAAAGCACUGAAUGGGCUAGGGGCUGAUAAAGUUACUGAACCCUAUCAAACUCAGAAUGCCGGCUAAUUGAUGAUCAGCAGUCAGACUACGUGAGAUAAGUCUCGUGGUCAAAAGGGAAACAGCCCAGACCUACAGCUAAGGUCCCAAAUAUACGCUAAGUGGAAAACGAUGUGGAAUUGCGAAAACAACCAGGAUGUUGGCUUAGAAGCAGCCACACAUUAAAAGAGUGCGUAAUAGCUCACUGGUCGAGUGACUCUGCGCGGAAAAUGUAACGGGGCUAAGCGUAUAACCGAAGCUUAGGAUGCAGCAAUGCGUGGUAGGGGAGCGUCGAAUACGGGGUGAAGUCGCAGCGGAAGCAGCGGUGGACUGUAUUCGAGUGAGAAUGCCGGAAUGAGUAGCGAGAAUUAUGUGGGAAUCAUAAUGGCCGAAAAUCUAAGGUUUCCUGGGGAAGGUUCGUCCGCCCAGGGUAAGCCGGGAGCUAAGGCGAGGCCGAGAGGCGUAGUCGAUGCACAUACGGUUGAAAUUCCGUAGCCACCGAAACUUAAGUUAGAGGGACACUUGGAACUAUCUGAUCCCGGGCGUUGGUUGACCCGGGCGAAAGGGACCGAAAUCAAGUAGGGAAGUCAGAGAACGACGAGGCGAGAAAAGCUCUAAUGUAUGCUAAGGUGCCCGUACCGCAAACCGACACAGGUAGAUGAGGAGAGAAUCCUAAGGCCAACGGGAGAAGGGUUGUUAAGGAACUCGGCAAAAUUACCCCGUAACUUCGGGAUAAGGGGAGCUCCCUAAGGGGAGCCGCAGAGAAUAGGCCCAAGCGACUGUUUACCAAAAACACAGGUCUAUGCUAAAUCGAAAGAUGACGUAUAUGGGCUGACGCCUGCCCGGUGCUGGAAGGUUAAGAGGAGAGCUUAGCGCAAGCGAAGGUUUGAAUUGAAGCCCCAGUAAACGGCGGCCGUAACUAUAACGGUCCUAAGGUAGCGAAAUUCCUUGUCAGGUAAGUUCUGACCCGCACGAAUGGCGUAACGAUUUGGGCGCUGUCUCAACAGCCCACCCGGCGAAAUUGUAGUACUGGUGAAGAUGCCAGUUACCCGCAACUAGACGGAAAGACCCCAUGGAGCUUUACUGUAGCUUAAUACUGGGAUUCGGUAAAUCAUGUACAGGAUAGGUGGGAGACAUGGAAGCAGUGGCGUCAGCCAUUGUGGAGUCGCCCUUGGGAUACCACCCUUGAUUUACUGGUUUUCUAACCUGCGGCCCUGGAUCGGGUCGGGGGACACUGUUAGGUGGGCAGUUUGACUGGGGCGGUC
rnacentral:rRNA from 1 species